rnacentral:misc_RNA from 1 species
GAAAUGCGAUAAGUAAUGUGAAUUGCAGAAUUCAGUGAAUCAUCGAAUCUUUGAACGCACAUUGCGCUCGCCAGCAUUCUGGCGAGCAUGCCUGUUCGAGCGUCAUUUCAACCCUCAAGCACCGCUUGGUUUUGGGGCCCCACGGCCGACGUGGGCCCUUAAAGGUAGUGGCGGACCCUCCCGGAGCCUCCUUUGCGUAGUAACUAACGUCUCGCACUGGGAUCCGGAGGGACUCUUGCCGUUAAACCCCCAAAUUCUUUACAGGUUGACCUCGGAUCAGGUAGGAAUACCCGCUGAACUUAA